GCCCCGGCCGCCGCUUCACAUCGGGGUCCCCGCCCCCCCAGCCGGGGGGCGUCUGCCCGGCGUGGAGCCCCGGCUCAUGCACUCCGCGGCGAGAUGCUACGGCCCCGGGCGGGUGGCCGAGGCGGCGGCGAGGUGGGGGACCCGGCCGGCUCCGCUCGGCGCCGCCCCCGCUCCCGGCUCCCGCAUGUGUCGCUGCGGCUGGGACCCCCGCCCUCCACCUUGGGGGUCCCUCGCCCCGCGCCCCGGGACCAACAGAAGCUCCGGCCCCUCCUCAGCGUCCUCUCCCCGCGGAGCAGCGGACUAGUCCCGGUCCGAGGUAGCCACCUCCCUGCCCCCCAGCCACCGGCUCCGGCUCGGGCUCCGGCGUGUGCAGCCGCGGCUGCCGGCCGGGAAGGUGAGGGGGGGAGAAGAGAGGUGGCCGCGGCUCCCGCCGGCCCAGGUCAGGGCAGAGGUCCUGGCGGCGGCCGGUGCACGGGCGCUGGGUCUCUCAGAUGCUCCCUGGCUCUCACGCUCGCGGCGGCGGCGGCGGCGGUAGCGCCCGGAGCUCAGCUCGCUGUCUCCCUCGCUUAGUGCGGGGCUCUCGCCUCACUCCAGAGAGAGGGGCGGGAGGAAAACGGCGCGCAACAAUGACGCAAGUCACCUAGCAACCGCUCUCUCCCCCACCCCCUCCCUUCUCUCUCCGCUCGGAGGCUCACUCCCCUAGUCUUUUUUCACCUUUCCGACCACCCCGCCCUAGGCGCCUCUGGCGCGCUCUGAUGACGCUCCAAGGGAAGAGGAAGUCGGGCUCGGCGAGCGGGUGGGUGCGCCUCGGGCCGCGGACUCGGUGUCGCUGCCGCCGCCUCUACGGCCGCGUCAGAACAGAAGAGAGGAAGGGGAGGAGCCGCGUGGAGCCUAAGCUGCCGCCUGAGCUUACCCCUGACCCGAGGGCGGUGGAGAGAGCUUGCUCUGUAGCGGUUUCCUUCAGAGCAGGUGGUGACUGCUCCUUGGGGAGCAAGGAGGAGGCCCAGGCCGCGCGGCCAUGCUCGGGCGCGCACCACCCGAAGGAAAUGGGGCUGCGGUUGAAAUGAGUCCCAACCUGAGUCUUAAGUGAAAAAAGAGGCGAACUGCUGGGACGAAAGAAGGGAGCCGUCCUCCCAGGGAU
ensembl:lncRNA